CACAAAGGCUUAGUCCUAACUUUACUGUCAGCUGAGGCCAAAUUUACACAUGCAAGUAUCCGCCCCCCUGUGAAAAUGCCCUAAAGUCCCCUUUGUGGGGACGAGGAGCCGGUAUCAGGCCCAAUAAAAUUUAGCCCAUGACACCUUGCUAAGCCACACCCCCAAGGGAUUUCAGCAGUGAUAGAUAUUAAGCCAUAAGUGAAAACUUGACUUAGUUAAAGCCAAGAGGACCGGUAAAACUCGUGCCAGCCACCGCGGUUAUACGAGAGGUCCAAGUUGACAGACAGCGGCGUAAAGCGUGGUUAGGGCAGAACUAAGACUAAAGCCAAAUGCCCACAAAGCUGUUAUACGCACCCGAGGGCCAGAGACCCAACAACGAAAGUGGCUUUAAACACCUGAACCCACGAAAGCUGCGAAACAAACUGGGAUUAGAUACCCCACUAUGCGCAGCCGUAAACAUUGAUAACCAACUACAAAGGUUAUCCGCCAGGGAACUACGAGCAAUAGCUUAAAACCCAAAGGACUUGGCGGUCCUUCAGACCCACCUAGAGGAGCCUGUUCUGUAACCGAUAAUCCCCGUUAAACCUCACCUCUUCUUGCUCGAACCGCCUAUAUACCGCCGUCAUCAGCCUACCCUGUGAAGGACCCGUAGUCAGCUUAAUUGGCUCAGCCCAAAAUGCCAGGUCGAGGUGUAGCGUAUGGAGAGGGAAGAAAUGGGCUACAUUUAGUGCAACCACUUAUACACGGAAGAUGAGUUGAAACACUCUUCGGAAGGAGGAUUUAGCAGUAAGUCGAAAAUAGAGUGUUCUACUGAAGCAGGCUCUGAAGCGCGUACACACCGCCCGUCACUCUCCCCGAAAAUACAUUCACAUUAAUUAAUACGUUAUCACAAAAAAGGGGAGGCAAGUCGUAACAUGGUAGGUGUACCGGAAGGUGCACUUG
rnacentral:ncRNA from 1 species